rnacentral:tRNA from 1 species
AGUUAUAUAGUUUUAAAAAAAAUAUUAAUUUUGUAAAUUAAUGAUAAAUUUAAUUUUAUAUUUUAUAACUU